rnacentral:rRNA from 1 species
ACGGGAGGCAGCAGUGGGGAAUAUUGGACAAUGGGGGAAACCCUGAUCCAGCGACGCCGCGUGAGUGAAGAAGUAUUUCGGUAUGUAAAGCUCUAUCAGCAAGGAAGAAAAUGACGGUACUUGGCUAAGAAGCCCCGGCUAACUACGUGCCAGCAGCCGCGGUAAUACGUAGGGGGCAAGCGUUAUCCGGAUUUACUGGGUGUAAAGGGAGCGUAGACGGCAUAGCAAGUCUGAAGUGAAAUGCAUGGGCUCAACCCAUGAACUGCUUUGGAAACUGUUAAGCUAGAGUGCAGGAGAGGUAAGUGGAAUUCCUAGUGUAGCGGUGAAAUGCGUAGAUAUUAGGAGGAACACCAGUGGCGAAGGCGGCUUACUGGACUGUAACUGACGUUGAGGCUCGAAAGCGUGGGGAGCAAACAGGAUUAGAUACCCUGGUA